rnacentral:rRNA from 1 species
AACGAACGCUGGCGGCAGGCCUAACACAUGCAAGUCGAACGCUCCGCAAGGGGAGUGGCGCACGGGUGAGUAACACGUGGGAACCUACCUUCUGGUACGGAACAACCAAGGGAAACUCUGGCUGAUACCGUAUACGACCUCCGGGUGAAAGAUUGAUCGCCGGAAAGAGGGGCCCGCGUCCGAUUAGGUAGUUGGUGAGGUAACGGCUCACCAAGCCUGCGAUCGGUAGCUGGUCUGAGAGGAUGACCAGCCACACUGGGACUGAGACACGGCCCAGACUCCUACGGGAGGCAGCAGUGGGGAAUAUUGGACAAUGGGCGCAAAGCCUGAUCCAGCCAUGCCGCGUG